rnacentral:rRNA from 1 species
GAUGAACGCUAGCGGCAGGCUUAAUACAUGCAAGUCGAGGGGCAGCAGGUCCGUAGCAAUACGGAUGCUGGCGACCGGCAAACGGGUGCGGAACACGUACACAACCUUCCUUUAAGUGGGGGAUAGCCCAGAGAAAUUUGGAUUAAUACCCCGUAAGAUUAUGGAAUGGCAUCAUUUUAUAAUUAAAGCUCCGGCGCUUGAAGAUGGGUGUGCGGCUGAUUAGGUAGUUGGGCGGGUAACGGCCCACCAAGCCAACGAUCAGUAACUGGUGUGAGAGCACGACCAGCCACACGGGCACUGAGACACGGGCCCGACUCCUACGGGAGGCAGCAGUAAGGAAUAUUGGUCAAUGGACGCAAGUCUGAACCAGCCAUGCCGCGUGGAGGAU